rnacentral:rRNA from 1 species
GAUGAACGCUGGCGGCGUGCCUAAUACGUGCAAGUCGAGCGAACAGACGAGGAGCUUGCUCCUCUGACGUUAGCGGCGGACGGAUGAGUAACACGUGGAUAACCUACCUAUAAGACUGGGAUAACUUCGGGAAACCGGAGCUAAUACCGGAUAAUAUAUUGAACCGCAUGGUUCAAUAGUGAAAGACGGUUUUGCUGUCACUUAUAGAUGGAUCCGCGCCGCAUUAGCUAGUUGGUAAGGUAACGGCUUACCAAGGCAACGAUGCGUAGCCGACCUGAGAGGGUGAUCGGCCACACUGGAACUGAGACACGGUCCAGACUCCUACGGGAGGCAGCAGUAGGGAAUCUUCCGCAAUGGGCGAAAGCCUGACGGAGCAACGCCGCGUGAGUGAUGAAGGUCUUCGGAUCGUAAAACUCUGUUAUUAGGGAAGAACAAAUGUGUAAGUAACUAUGCACGUCUUGACGGUACCUAAUCAGAAAGCCACGGCUAACUACGUG